rnacentral:rRNA from 1 species
AUCUCUGUAGAGUCUGCAUAUCAAUAAGCGGAGGAAAAGAAACUAACUAGGAUUCCCUCAGUAACGGCGAGUGAAGCGGGAAGAGCUCAAAUUUGAAAUCUUCAAGGUUUUACCUUGACGAAUUGUAGUUUAAAGAAGUGUUUUCUGUUGGAGUUUUGGUAAAAGUUCUUUGGAAUAGGACAUCAUAGAGGGUGAGAAUCCCGUAUUUGACCAUUAUUUCCAGCUUUGUGAUACACUUUCAAAGAGUCGGAUUGUUUGGGAAUGCAGUCCAAAAUGGGUGGUAAAUUUCAUCUAAAGCUAAAUACUGGCGAGAGACCGAUAGCGAACAAGUACCGUGAGGGAAAGAUGAAAAGAACUUUGAAAAGAGAGUUAAACAGUACGUGAAAUUGUCAAAAGGGAAGCGUUUGACACCAGUGUUGUUUUCUCGAAAAUCAAUUAAAAAUGGCGGGAUUUUGUGUUGUAUUGACUUUAUCAGCUUUCUGCACUUUUUUCCUGUCUUUUUUAAUGCACUUUUCGUUUAACAAGUCAACAUCAAUUUCUUUUGUUGUAAAAGGGUCAUUGGAAGGUGGCUUUCUUUUCGGAGAAAGUGUUUAUAGCCUUUGGCCUCUGCAAUCGGAGAGAUUGAGGUCUGCAGCGUAGAUCCUUCGGGGUUAGAUACAUUUGUGCUAAGUUAUAGCCUUUCAUAGACAACUUGUUGACUAUGCUCAGUCAUGUAGCUUACUCGCUUAUGUAUUUUACCUACGCUUAGGAUGUUGAGUCAUCACACAUCUCU